rnacentral:rRNA from 1 species
AACGUACCCUAGAGUGGGGGAUAACGUAGCGAAAGUUACGCUAAUACCGCAUACGAUCUACGGAUGAAAGUGGGGGAUGCGCAAGCACCUCAUGCUCGUGGAGCGGCCGAUAUCUGAUUAGCUAGUUGGUAGGGUAAAAGCCUACCAAGGCAUCGAUCAGUAGCUGGUCUGAGAGGACGACCAGCCACACUGGGACUGAGACACGGCCCAGACUCCUACGGGAGGCAGCAGUGGGGAAUUUUGGACAAUGGGCGCAAGCCUGAUCCAGCAAUGCCGCGUGAGU